GGAGGUAUAGUUCAGUGGGAGAGCAUGUGCUUGACAUGCAUGAAGUCCUGGGUUCAAUCUCCAGUGCCUCGG
rnacentral:tRNA from 1 species